rnacentral:rRNA from 1 species
AUUGAACGCUGGCGGCAUGCCUUACACAUGCAAGUCGAACGGUAACGGGCCUUCGGGUGCCGACGAGUGGCGAACGGGGGAGUAAUACAUCGGAACGUGCCCGCUCGUGGGGGAUAACGAGGCGAAAGCUUUGCUAAUAGCGCAUACGAUCUACGGAUGAAAGCCGGGGACCGCAAGGCCUUGCGCGGGCGGAGCGGCCGAUGGCAGAUUGGGUAGUUGGUGGGAUAAAAGCUUACCAAGCCGACGAUCUGUAGCUGGUCUGAGAGGAUGAUACGCCACACUGGGACUGAGACACGGCCCAGACUCCUACGGGAGGCAGCAGUGGGGAAUUUUGGACAAUGGGCGCAAGCCUGAUCCAGCCAUGCCGCGUGCAGGAUGAAGGCCUUCGGGUUGUAAACUGCUUUUGUACGGAACGAAAAGCCUUCUUUUAAUACAGGAGGGUCAUGACGGUACCGUAAGAAUAAGCACCGGCUAACUACGUG